GAUGAACGCUGGCGGCGUGCCUAAUACAUGCAAGUCGAGCGAAGCGGGGACGGGUGAGUAACACGUGGAUAACCUCCUAUAAGACUGGGAUAACUUCGGGAAACCGGAGCUAAACCGGAUAAUUAUCGAUGGCUCCGCGCUGCAUUAGCUAGUUGGUAAGGUAACGGCUUACCAAGUCAACGAUGCCUAGCCGACCUGCAAGGGUGAGCGGCCACACUGGAACUGCGACACGGUCCAGACUCCUACGGGAGUCAGAAGAAGAGAAACUUCCGCAAUGGGCGAAAGCCUGUCGGAGUCACGCCGCGUGAGUGAUGAAGGUCUUCGGAUCGUAAAACUCAGUUAUUAGGGAAGCGUUACCUAAACAGAAAGCCACGGCUAACUACGUGCCAGCAGCCGCGGUAAUUC
rnacentral:rRNA from 1 species